ensembl:snRNA U6 U6 spliceosomal RNA
GUGCUCCCUAUGGCAGCACAUAUACUAAAACUGGAGAAGAUUAACAUGGCCCCUGCACAAGGAUGACAUGCAAAUUCAUGAAGCAUGCCAUAUUACG